rnacentral:rRNA from 1 species
AUUAGAUAAAAAACCAAUGCCCUUCGGGGCUCCUUGGUGAUUCAUGAUAACUUCUCAGAUCGCAUGGCUUUACGCCGGCGACGGUUCAUUCAAAUUUCUGCCCUAUCAACUUUCGAUGGUAAGGUAUUGGCUUACCAUGGUUUCAACGGGUAACGGGGAAUUAGGGUUCGAUUCCGGAGAGGGAGCCUGAGAAACGGCUACCACAUCCAAGGAAGGCAGCAGGCGCGCAAAUUACCCAAUUCCGAUACGGAGAGGUAGUGACAAUAAAUACUGAUACAGGGCUCUUUUGGGUCUUGUAAUUGGAAUGAGUACAAUUUAAACCUCUUAACGAGGAACAAUUGGAGGGCAAGUCUGGUGCCAGCAGCCGCGGUAAUUCCAGCUCCAAUAGCGUAUAUUAAAGUUGUUGCAGUUAAAAAGCUCGUAGUUGAACCUUUGGCCUGGCUGGCAGGUCCGCCUCACCGCGUGCACUUGUCCGGCCGGGCCUUUUCUUCUGAAGAACCGCAUGCCCUUCACUGGG